GUAGUCUCGCACAGAUGCAUAUCAAUAAGCGGAGGAAAGGAAACUAACAAGGAUUCCCCUAGUAACGGCGAGUGAAGCGGGAAGAGCUCAAAUUUAAAUCUUAAAGGGUUUCCCUUUACGAAUUGUAGUUUAAAGAAGUGUUUUCUGUUGAGGUUUUGGUAAAAGUUCUUUGGAAUAGGACAUCAUAGAGGGUGAGAAUCCCGUAUUUGACCUUUACUUUCAACUUUGUGAUACACUUUCAAAGAGUCGGAUUGUUUGGGAAUGCAGUCCAAAAUGGGUGGUAAAUUUCAUCUAAAGCUAAAUAUUGGCGAGAGACCGAUAGCGAACAAGUACCGUGAGGGAAAGACUGAAAAGAACUUUGAAAAGAGAGUUAAACAGUACGUGAAAUUGUCAAAAGGGAAGCGUUUGACACCAGUGUUGUUUUUCUGAAAAUCAAUUAAAGAACUGUUUAUGCUAAGCUGUUUAGACUUUAUCAGCUAACUGUUUAGUUUUGAGCUUUUCUUUAAUGCACUUUUCAGUUAACAAGUCAACAUCAAUUUCUUUUGCUGUAAAAAAGCUUGAGGAAGGUGGCUUGAGAUUCGUCUUAAGUGUUUAUAGCCUCUUGCCUAUGCAGUCGGAGAGAUUGAGGUCUGCAGCGUAGAUCCUUCGGGGCUAAAUGCAUUUGUGCUAAGUUAUAGCAUUUUAUAGACAACUUGUUGACUAUGAUUUGUCUUGUAGCUUACUCGCUUAUGUUAUUUUACCUACGCUUAGGAUGUUGAGUAGCGACAUACGCAC
rnacentral:rRNA from 1 species